UACGGAGGAUGCGAGCGUUAUCCGGAUUUAUUGGGUUUAAAGGGUGCGUAGGCGGGCUUUUAAGUCAGCGGUAAAAAUUCGGGGCUCAACCCCGUCCGGCCGUUGAAACCGGGGGUCUUGAGUGGGCGAGAAGAAGGCGGAAUGCGUGGUGUAGCGGUGAAAUGCAUAGAUAUCACGCAGAACCCCGAUUGCGAAGGCAGCCUUCCGGCGCCCUACUGACGCUGAGGCACGAAAGUGCGGGGAUCGAACAGG
rnacentral:rRNA from 1 species